AACGAACGCUGGCGGCAUGCCUAACACAUGCAAGUCGAACGAGACCUUCGGGUCUAGUGGCGCACGGGUGCGUAACGCGUGGGAACCUGCCUUUAGGUUCGGGAAUAACUCAGAGAAAUUUGAGCUAAUACCGGAUAAUGUCUUCGGACCAAAGAUUUAUCGCCUUUAGAUGGGCCCGCGUUGGAUUAGCUAGUUGGUGGGGUAAAGGCCUACCAAGGCGACGAUCCAUAGCUGGUCUGAGAGGAUGAUCAGCCACACUGGGACUGAGACACGGCCCAGACUCCCUACGGGAGGCAGCAGUGGGGAAUAUUGGGACAAUGGGCGAAAGCCUGAUCCAGCAAUGCCGCGUGAGUGAUGAAGGCCUUAGGGUUGUAAAGACUCUUUUACCCGUAGAUGAUAAUGACAGUAUCGGGAGAAUAAGCUCCGGCUAACUCCGUGCCAGCAGCCGCGGUAAGUGACUACU
rnacentral:rRNA from 1 species